GAACGACCGCUGGCGGCAUGCCUAACACAUGCGCGUCGAACGAGACCUUCGGGUCUAGUGGCGGGGGGUGCGUAACGCGUGGGAAUCUACCCUUGGGUUCGGAAUAACAGUUAGAAAUGACUGCUAAUACCGGAUGAUGUCGUAAGACCAAAGGUUUAUCGCCCAAGGAUGAGCCCGCGUAAGAUUACCUAGUUGGUGGGGUAAAGGCCUACCAAGGCUACGAUCUUUAGCUGGUCUGAGAGGAUGAUCAGCCACACUGGGACUGAGACACGGCCCAGACUCCUACGGGAGGCAGCACUGGGGAAUAUUGGACAAUGGGCGAAAGCCUGAUCCAGCAAUGCCGCGUGAGUGAUGAAGGCCUUAGGGUUGUAAAGCUCUUUUACCCGGGAUGAUAAUGACAGUACCGGGAGAAUAAGCCCCGGCUAACUCCGUGCCAGCAGCCGCGGUAAUACGGACGGGGCUAGCGUUGUUCGGAAUUACUGGGCGUAAAGGGCGCGUAGGCGGAUUAGUAAGUUGGGAGUGAAAGCCCGGGGCUUAACCUCGGAACUGCUUUCUAAACUGCUAGUCUUGAGUGAAGGAGGGGAUGAUGGAAUUCCUAGUGUAGAGGUGAGAUUCUUAGAUAUUAGGAGGAACACCGGUGGCGAGGGCGGUGCUCUGGACCUCCACUGACUCUGAGGCGCGACAGCGUGGGGAGCAACAAGAUUAGAUACCCUGGGAGUC
rnacentral:rRNA from 1 species